UGGUCAGUAGUACAUUAAAAUUUCCAGAAAUAUAUGUAGAUCAACGCCUGUACAUAUAUACAUAUGUAUAUACAUAUAUUUUAGUGAGCAGGGUCAAUAUCUGCUGCUCUCUGGGACGAUGACAACGAAUUCAAGAUAAAACUUCAAAAUUAUGCUAUAACUCGGUUCGAAAUCAAUUAGGGCGACGACAGCUUAUGCAGAACACAAAUUUAGCUGAAAAUGGUACCUUUCGCCUUAGACAACAAAACAAUGAAA